GAAUCAUCAUUUUCUUUGUAUAGUAUCAUUUACAUCUAAAUGGGAAUAUAAAGUGAAUGGACCCACCCUCUGUAUAUGCCCCACUAUUUUUCCCACCUCUCACUCAUAGCCAAUAAGAGCAGCAUUAUCGCUGCCCCUUAGCUCACCCCUUAGCCCAAGAAAAUAUUUUAAAGCAACAAAGAGAAGAGAGAAGCCCAAGAGGCGAGUCUUGGGUAAGGGCUGGAAGGCCCGCCCCUUAGGAACACGUGUCAAGGCGAGAGAGGAACAAAAAAAUCGGAGAGGAGAGAGCUGAGGUUUCGUUUCUGGGUUUGGUUCUCUCUCUCUCUCUCUCUCUCUCUCUCUCUCAGAGGCGACGAACUUCGUGAGAUUGAUACAUGAUCAGUCAAUUGAAUAAGCAUAAUGAGUUCAAAAGAAUCGUGUCACCACUGAAGUACCAGACGAGGUGUGUUACUGCCUUCCCUGAUCAGCAAGGAUUUUUGAUCACAGAAACUGUUCAACUGAAGUGCGAGUUGGUGUUCAUCAUCUGGAUGAUUCUCAGCAGAACAAGAACUUCACAUUCAAAUAUCAUAGAGAUGGGAAUGAGAUCUAUUCUAUCAAUGCUCUGAACUUCCACCCGUUGCUUGCUUCCCUUCCCUCAGUCAUCAACGGCUCCUUUGGCCUCCACGUGUUGUUGCCAUCUCGCCGCCUCUUUUUCUA